rnacentral:rRNA from 1 species
AUUGAAUGCUGGCGGCAUGCUUUACACAUGCAAGUCGAACGGCAGCAUGGGUGCUUGCACCUGAUGGCGAGUGGCGAACGGGUGAGUAAUAUAUCGGAACAUGUCCGGAGGUGGGGGAUAACGUAGCGAAAGUUACGCUAAUACCGCAUAUGCCUUGAGGGGGAAAGGACGGGAGCGUAAGACCUUGCGCUUUCGGAGUGGCCGAUAUCAGAUUAGCUAGUUGGUGAGGUAAAGGCUCACCAAGGCAACGAUCUGUAGCGGGUCUGAGAGGAUGAUCCGCCACACUGGGAGUGAGACACGGCCCAGACUCCUGCGGGAGGCAGCAGUGGGGAAUUUUGGACAAUGGGCGCAAGCCUGAUCCAGCCAUGCCGCGUGAGUGAAGAAGGCCUUCGGGUUGUAAAGCUCUUUCAGCCGGAAAGAAAUCAUGCUUACUAAUACUAAGUGUGGAUGACGGUACCGGAAGAAGAAGCACCGGCUAACUACGUGCCAGCCGCCGCAGUAA